rnacentral:rRNA from 1 species
CCUACGGUUGGCAGCAGUGAGGAAUAUUGGUCAAUGGGCGCGAGCCUGAACCAGCCAAGUCGCGUGAGGGAAGACGGUCCUAUGGAUUGUAAACCUCUUUUUUCGGGGCGCAAAAGACGCCACGCGUGGCGUUCCGAGCGUACACGUAGAAAAAGCAUCGGCUAACACCGUGCAAGCAGCCGCGGUAAUACGGAGGAUGCGAGCGUUAUCCGGAUUUAUUGGGUGUAAAGGGUGCGCAGGAGGAAGAAAAAGUCAGCGGUAAACUUGAGAGGCUCAACCUCGUCGAGCCGUUGAAACUGGUUUUCUUGAGUGAGUGAGAAGUAUGCGGAAUGCGUGGUGUAGCGGUGAAAUGCAUAGAUAUCACGCAGAACUCCGAGUGCGAAGGCAGCAUACCGGCGCUCAACUGACGCUCAUGCACGAAAGUGUGGGUAUCGAACAGGAUUAGAUACCCGUGUAGUC